GCCAGCUUAGCUCAAUGGUAGAGCAGCUGAUUUGUAAUCAGCAGGUUGUCGGUUCGAGCCCGACAGCUGGCUCCA
rnacentral:tRNA from 1 species